ACACAUAUGCAUGUGUGUAUUAAUUUUCUCGCGAACCGUUUAUCGCAGCAAAUAGCGGCUAUAGCACCUUAUAAAAGAUGAGAAAAAGUUAUUUCAUGUGAUGUCUGUGAGGCUACUUCGCGAGUAGUUCCUAGAGAAGAAUGGGCGGCCAC